CCUGAAGGCGCCGGAUCUCGUCUGAUCUCGGAAGCUAAGCAGG
ensembl:rRNA 5S_rRNA 5S ribosomal RNA